rnacentral:tRNA from 1 species
GCGGCCAUAGUCCAGUGGUAAGACGCGGGGUUGUGGGUUCCGAGGCGCGGGUUCGAUUCCCGCUGGCCGCC